GAACGCACAUUGCGCCCCUUGGUAUUCCGAGGGGCAUGCCUAUUCGAGCGUCAUUAUCACCCCUCAAGCCUAGCUUGGUGUUGGGGCUUGCUGUAAAGGCAGCCUCUAAAAUCAGUGGCAGUGCUGUCAGGCUCUAAGCGUAGUAAAUUCAUCGCUAUAGGGUCCUGGUGGAUACUCGUCAAAACCCCCCAUUUUUAAUGAUUGACCUCGGAUUAGGUAGGGAUACCCGCUGAACUUAAG
rnacentral:misc_RNA from 1 species